AGUCUUCAUGAAUACAAGAUAGGAAAAAGGAGUGACAAAGCCUUCUCCAGGGACAGACACGGGACAGCUGAUGCAGGGCAUGAGAAGUCAUCACCGAUGUGUUCCACAGCCACCUGACUGCAAGUCAAUCUGGUCCCUGUCCUGGCUUUAUAAAGUAGUUCCAAGGGACAGCCAGAUGUGAGAAUCACUGCGCUAGAAGCUGACUUAGGGAACUAUGCCUCCCCAACCCUCGGUCCUGAUGGUUUGGGAUUGGUCUUGCUCCUAGACCCGGGGAUGGUCACACAACCCAGGCUUGGCCAAUCAGAGUUCUGAAUCUCCCUAAAGACAGUGGUUGAUUCAAGAAGGGCGUGUAACCCAAGUGAGCCCGGUGGGAAUCAGCCGUAGGGCCUCUGUGGGUGCCGCUAAGGAAGAAAAGCUCUCUUCCCUCUGGGACUGCUAAGUACGGACAUCCUCCCUUCUGGAGAGAAUCUGCCUGCGAAUAAAGCCGUAACAGAGGAACUGCAA
rnacentral:lncRNA from 1 species